rnacentral:rRNA from 1 species
AGUGAACGCUGGCGGUAGGCCUAACACAUGCAAGUCGAACGGCAGCACAGUAAGAGCUUGCUCUUACGGGUGGCGAGUGGCGGACGGGUGAGGAAUACAUCGGAAUCUACUUUUUCGUGGGGGAUAACGUAGGGAAACUUACGCUAAUACCGCAUACGACCUACGGGUGAAAGCAGGGGAUCUUCGGACCUUGCGCGAUUGAAUGAGCCGAUGUCGGAUUAGCUAGUUGGCGGGGUAAAGGCCCACCAAGGCGACGAUCCGUAGCUGGUCUGAGAGGAUGAUCAGCCACACUGGAACUGAGACACGGUCCAGACUCCUACGGGAGGCAGCAGUGGGGAAUAUUGGACAAUGGGCGCAAGCCUGAUCCAGCCAUACCGCGUGGGUGAAGAAGGCCUUCGGGUUGUAAAGCGCUUUUGUUGGGAAAGAAAAGCAGCAGGUUAAUACCCCGCUGUUCUGACGGUACCCAAAGAAUAAGCACCGGCUAACUUCGUG